rnacentral:rRNA from 1 species
ACGGGAGGCAGCAGUGAGGAAUAUUGGUCAAUGGGCGAGAGCUUGAACCAGCCAAGUCGCGUGCGGGACGAAGGCCCUACGGGUCGUAAACCGCUUUUAUACGGGAAUAAAGUGCGCCACGCGUGGCGUUUUGCAGGUACCGUAGGAAUAAGGAUCGGCUAACUCCGUGCCAGCAGCCGCGGUAAUACGGAGGAUCCGAGCGUUAUCCGGAUUUAUUGGGUUUAAAGGGUGCGCAGGCGGCACGUUAAGUCAGCGGUGAAAUGUCGGGGCUCAACCCGGGCACUGCCGUUGAAACUGGCGAGCUUGAGUACGGAUGAAGUCGGCGGAAUGUGAUGUGUAGCGGUGAAAUGCUUAGAUAUGUCACAGAACACCGAUUGCGAAGGCAGCUGACUAAUCCGCAACUGACGCUCAGGCACGAAAGCGUGGGGAUCGAACAGGAUUAGAUACCCUGGUA